rnacentral:lncRNA from 1 species
UUUUUUUUUUGUAGUUAAAUAAAAAACUUUUAAGAAUUCUAUAAGUUCUUUUAUGUUAUUCCAAUCACUAUCAUCAAGUCUAUAUGCCAUAUUUGAAUUAUGAGCAUUCCAAACCAUUUGUAAAGGUUUCCUAUAUUCAUAAGCAACUUCAAGCAUUUCAAAUAAAGAAUUCCAUCUAGUUGGUUUUGAGAUUGAAGCUACUUUUGAGUUUAUCUUGGACUGCUAUGAGAGGCUGUAUAAAUUGGGCAUUGUUCACCAAUAUGGGGUUGAGUUCGUGUCUUUCCAACUUCAAGGUGAGGCCAAGCAGUGGUGGAGAGCUUAUAUGGAGUGCAGAUCUUCUACUUUACCUCCACUCACUUGGAUCCAAUUUCAUUCUUUGUUUCUAGAAAAGUAUGUGUCCAGAACUUUGAGGGAUCGCAAGAAUGAUGAAUUUAUGGCUUUAGAGCAAGGUGGAAUGUAUAUGCCUGCUUAUGAGGCCAAGUUCCAUGUUCUAUUAUUAGGAGCAUUAUCUAAUGUGACACUACUUAUUUUAUCACAAAUUCCAUAGUUUUGCAAAAUAUCUAUAAUUGUUUGAGCUAUAUAACUACCGGUUUUAUGCAUUUCACAACAUUUAUAACCUAAAAUUCUUUUUUGCAAAGUCCAAUUUUCAUCAAUCCAAUGCGCAGUAAUAGUGAAAUAAUCAUUACCAUUUACAGUACGGCCCAUUUAAGAAGUAAUAGCUAUUUUACAAUUAUUAUAAUAAAAUAAACAACGAAGAUAUUGAAAAUGUUGAGCUUGAUAAUCGAAGAUAGCCUUUUUAAUUGUAUUUCUAGUAAAACCUUUAAAAUGUGGAUUAUUAACAAUUUGAAUAUAAUGAAUAAAACCGGGAUUUUCAGCAAAACUAAAUGGCAAACCCAUAACAACAAUCAUUUUAGCUAAUUCUUCAAGAUCUUUUUCUCUACUAUAUGACCGUUGUAUAUUAGAACCAAAAAUAUUAGAAGGAUUUAAUUGUGUUUGGACCAUAUUAGAGCCCUCUACUCCUACAUUUUCAGGAAGGGUGGUACCAUUUUUUUAGCUUCGGCUACAAAUUUAGCAUGCAAAAAUUCAUUUUUACAACAUGACAUUAAAUGAUUACUCAAAUGUCCCGCCCCACCUUGUUUUCCUACAGUUUUAUGAUUCAUUCUAUGUUUACAUUUAUUACAAAUAGCUUGUGUUUUAUCUUCAUUCUGAGUCAUAAAUUGCCACACAACUGAUUUUUUAGCGUGUUCUACUUUAGUCCUAGGAUGCACGGGGGGAACGGGAACAGGACAACGAAAGGGAGCGGGAGCCGGGGAAGAGGGAUUGGGAGUGGGACUAGUAGCCGACAGUAGCUCAGUUUCAUCAUCAUCAUAUUCAUCAACAUUAUUAUCAAAACUAUCAACAUAAGCAUUAACAUCAUCAUGUUCAUCAUGUUCAGGUAAUUCCUCUUCAAAAUUACCAAACCUUCUUUGUAAAUGUUCAUGAUAAGGAUCUAAUCCACUAUUACUAUCAAUAUUAAAAACAAUUUCAUCAACAUGCGUACAAUCAUCCGUAUUUAUUCUUAAUUGAGAAGUUUUUUUAGUUUUAGAUUGAGAAGUACUACCGGUUUUUUUAUUUUUCUUGGAUUUUGAGUUCCAUAAAUUAGUGAUCGAAUCAACUAUGGUUGUUUACCCUUGUCAACAUUGUUUUUACCGAAAUUCAUAUUCAAAUAUAAAAAAGUGAGUAAAUUAUAUAUAAUAGGGAAAAAGGACAAAUUUACCCUCGAACUUUGAUAAAUGGUACGUCUAUGCCCUCCAUUAUACUUUGCGUCCAUAUAAGCCCCUGCCGUCCAAUUUUCGGUACACACAUGCCCCUCUCACUAACGGACCCCUCGUUUUGUACACGUGUUUUAAUCCUAGCCAACUACCCGUUUUGACCAUUAUUUUAACCCAUAAACCCACAACCCCGCCCCAUAAACCCAAUAACCCACCUCUUCUUUCUAUUAAACUGUCGAAUGCACCACCACCGGAGGCAAAUCGCCGUCCACCUUCCUCUUCCUUCCUUUUUGGUCCACCGAUCCGAAUCGGAAUCACUACCGUUUGACUCAAAACUCCUUCUCCUAUCAAAUCUUCUACCAGAAGAGGGUACAAAAGCUUUAUUCGCUGCCCAAUUAUCAGAUUCAUCAACUUUAGACUGGGAAUCAGAGAAAAAACCUCCCCUUUCACCUUUCUCCCCCUUCUUUCAAAACCAUUACCAGCCGAUGUUUUCUUAGCUGCACCCCAAUCAUCAGUCUCGUCGGCACGAGAGGGAGCAAUUUCCCUAUCGGUAUCCCUUCGGAACCCUCCCUGCCUAUGAGAAUCAUCCGACAAACCCCUCCCUCUUUACCUGUCGUAACCGUACAAUCUGAAACCACCUCCGUGUCGAGACUGGCCAAGUUCCUCCGCAGUGCGCUCGCGAGGACUGGUAGGGAGCAUCAAAACUUUCUCCGGUGUCAAGCCUUUGGUUGCCACAGUGGCGGCAGUUUUGAGAUUACUUAGCAGCGCUAUAAGUGUUGAACUCCUAAAGGGAUAAGGUUUGUGACUUCUUCUUCUUCGUUUUGGUAGUGGCAGCAGCGGCUAAAGAUGGAAAAUCGGCAAGGCCACCGGCACCGCCGCCAUUGGAGUGAUUUUCAACCUUCACUGACCCUUCACUGACUCUUCAUUUGGAAUGUUUAAUUAACUUAGAUAUUUUAGAGGGAAUUGGGUGGGUUAUUGGGUUUUAUGGGGCGGGUUGUGGGUUUAUGGGUUAAAAAGAAUGGUCAAACGGGUAGUUGAUUAGGAUUAAAACACGUGUACAAAACGAGGGGUCCGUUAGUGAGAGGGGCAUGUGUGUACCGAAAAUUGGACGGCAGGGGCUUAUGUGGACGCAAAGUAUAACGAAGGGCAUAGACGUACCAUUUAUCAAAGUUCGGGGGUAAAAUUCGUCCUUUUUCCCCUAUAUAAUAUGAAAAAUGUAAUGCAAAGUUUUAAACAAAUAAAUAACUAAAUAAGUAGAGACUAGAGACUAAUUACUCACAAAAUAAAUAAUUAAAAUGCAAACAAAUAAAUAACUAAAAUGAAAAGUGAGUUGGAACGAAUGUACCAAACAUCUACUUAAACAAGUAGACGUGUAUAACCGAAAGCCGAAAAUUGAAAGUUGAAUUUUCAAGCUCCAAUCUCCAAAGACCAAAUUCGUAAUUUAAACGAGAAAAAUUAAGAGAUUAGAGAGUAGAGAGAGUCGAAGAUAAUAUUUUUGUGAGUUGUGAGUUGUGACUAAAAAGAAUGAAAUUUUGAGGGUAUUUAUAGUUUAAAAAAAAGGAUGAAAAUGUAGUUUUUAGAAGGUUGGGUAUUAAAAAAAGUUUGGGGGUAGGGAGGUGUAAAAGGGGAGUUAUGGGGGUGAAAGAGCCGUUGGUGGGGCCCAAAAGUCGUUGCCCAACGGCUCUCAACGGCUCUCAACGGCUAUAACUUUAAUUUUUUAAUUAAGAUUUUUUUAAAAAAAACGGACCGGACCGGGACCGGAACCGGGACUAACCGGACCAGGACUAACCGGUAAAUCCCGGUUUCCGUCCCGUUACCCCUCCCAGAUCCGCUAUGUUCCGGACUAAAUCGGGACUAACUGGAACCGAGACGGAACCGGUAACGGAUCGGGAUGGAACGAAACCGGAACCGGCACCUCCCGGUUCUGUUGUCAAGCUUACUGCUGACCAAGUAAUUACCUGUCCAACCAAAUAAGACAGACAGUGUAAUUACACCCAAUUACACCAAAGCCAAUUACCAAGAUGUCCUUCCAAAUAGGCCCUAAAAUUUUUUGAAAAUAUUAAUGAGUCUCCAAUUAACUUAAUCUAAUAUUUAAGUGUCGUUGACCCUUCACUGGUCAAAAUAGUCACAAACGCUUAAUUGAAGACUUAAAUAACACUUUUGGUUCUAUUUUCUCAAGAUAGAUAUGGAUAAUAUUAAAUAUAGAUUUCAUGAUUGAAAUUCGAAACUAGACUCAACUCACCACAAACCCAGCCAAGAUCAAGCAAUUCCAAAUUAGUCGGAUCAGCUAUAGGAAUCCUAUGUAUCCAUUUCAUUUUAAUCAGGCCCAAUUCAAAAUUUUAAGGAGAUAAAGAAGGUGACAACAAUAAAGCUUAGUUGUUGCAAAUGGCUUUAGCAUUAUUCACCAUCCAUCUUGAGAAAUUCCAUGGACUCACUCAACACACUUAAGUUCACAAAGCGACACUCUAUCCACCAAAGUUACAACAAUUCACUCAAUUAGCUGCUGAGCUACAUAAACAAUUGAACUUCAAUUAAAGCCAGUGAAAUACAACAAUAUUAAUGAGUUGCACGAACAAUACAACUGAGAAAUGUAAGGUUCCCUUCACUGCCUGCUAUAAGGAUUCAUUAGCAUAUGGUAACUUGCAGGGAGCAGCCCGGUCCUUUGACUUAUAUUGGCCUAGCACUUCAGCUACAGUUCUACAACGGCAUUGCUUUCCAGGUCGGAGAACAUCCCCAUAAACAGCCAUUUAAAUAACAUCGAGCUCUUUAUCUUCAUGGCCCAAGUUUUAUGGUAAGUAUUAGGAGUAAUACAGUAAAAUGUCAUUGCUGCAAAUAAAAAAUGGCAUACUGAUUCAUGAGGAAGGAGCUGCUUCAGUUUCUAUGUUUUCAAUUAUUUAUUUAUUUAUUUAUUAAAUUGACCAGUUAAAGGUCGAUUAUUGAUGUAUAACCCUUGGAAAUUUUGAUUUUGUUUUUAGGUAUUAGUCAGAUGAAUAUAUAAUUCUCUCUGGUUGUUAAAUAUUUUGACGUGCAAUUUUUAUUUAGCUUUUUGUUCUUAUUGCUCUACUUGUUCAUUAAUUCUUCAUCUAUGCUCUUAUAAUAGUCCACUCUUUCCCUCACCAAGUUCUCUAUUUUCAUUGUUUUUCUUUUGAUCUUUCUUCCAAACCUCUUCUUGAAUGGGGUUUAGAAUUAAUCCCAUGAUUCAAAAUAAUAGUUUGACUAGAAUCAAUUCUAUGAUUGAUAUAGCUAAAAUACUAAUUACAGUGUUUGAUACUAAUCUUAACAUUUUAUUUUUUUUGGCGAAUCUAAAGGCUUACGGGUUAGAAAUGUGUUGAACCUCCAUGGUUUUAGUCUUGCUCAUUUUUCUAAUUUUUUUAACUCUAUUGUCACAAAUUUUUAUUACAAUUAUAUAGCGUUGACGCUUUUUUUUCCAUUCCACCUGUUUUUUAAAUUUUUGGUUCAAUUUGUUAAUAUUGUCUAUCUUGAAUUUACUUUACAACCACAUUAUGCUUGGUAAGUGUUUCUACAUAUGACAUUUAAGAUUAUUUUUGGGGGGUUAUGUAUAAAUAUCAAAGUUAUGUAAUUACAUGACAAUAAGAAAGAUAAAUACAUUGUUGUGAAUCAAACUAGCUCUAUAAAGGCCUAUGGGUUAGAAGUCGUGAAUGAGAUUGGACUAAGUUAAAUGUUGGAGUGUUUUAUUUGGGAUCCAAGCCCAAUUAGCAUUUGGUUAAAAGGAAGAAUGAGUUUGAAAGAAGAGUUUAUGCUUAUUGAAGAAACAUUUGUUCCUCUCUUCAGCUUUUCAUCCUACUUCUUAUGUAUAUCCUUAUUACUUAUUGUUACUUCAGUGUUUUUCGUUGUAAUUCAAUAAUUUAACUGGUGUUGUGAUAAAUUGAUUGUCAAGGACUAUAUAAUACUUGAAUAUUUGGUGUUGAGAAUCUGAAUUCGUUACAUACACAAAAUAUCAAAGUCUCUUCAACCUUUCUUUAUUUUCUACUGCUACUUGUUGAUAUAGCUUUGAGUUACACCUUCUUUUGGGUAAGAGUUGUAAUUAUUCUUAACUAUUUAUAUUAUUUUUAUUUUAUGUUCCCACAAAUUUAUGACUGUGCUUUAGUGUCUUCGAAAUGUUUCAGGCAAAAUGUUGUUCAUUUGAUUAAUUACUUUACACUGAUUGUUCCUCCAUGCAUUGAAAAAUCAUAUGAUAUUACGUGCUUACUGUUUUUAUUUACUUUGUUUGACUUCAGAUAUAAAAUAUGAAGUCUGUGAUCAAAAAAGAUAUUUUCAAUGAUACAAAUUAUUGGAUCCGUUAUGAAGCUCCAGAUGUCUAGAAGGUAUGCAAGGUUCUUAUAUAUAUAUUGAUGAAACGAAAGAAAAUGCGUUGGUUGGGAGUCAUAGCAUCUUGGUUUUGGAUCUACCCAGGUUAUAGAAAUGUUGGACCAUUUUAAAGGUUUGCUUCCAAGUGAAACUGUAGCAAUGAAGAGUGAGUAGGUCAUUGUAUAAGUCAAGCCUGAGUUGUGUGAUCUCUAUCUUUGGAAUUUUCACCAGUUCAUGGUUAGUUUCACUAUACCCUGAACUAAAAGAAAAAAAGGAUUUCAGCUAUACCUAAGUUUCUAUAACAACAGGGAAGUUGUUUGUCUUACUAACUUUUGUGAUGACAAUGAAUUACCUAGGAUUGGAAAUCCCAACUCUGUUCCUUCUGUCAAUGAAGAAGUCUUAGGUCAAAAAUGAAGAAUGGGUGGUUCAUAUUAAUGCAAAAAUCUUGGUAAUAAUAUAUCAAUAAUUUUUUUGUUGAGUUCAUAAUUUUCAGGUCAACUUCAACCCUGUCGCUGUCAAUUCAAUCAAGAAAACACUUGCAGCUAUAUGCAAAAAGGAGCAACAUGAGGUUAGUGCUGAUUCGAUAGUCAAAGUGAGUGGAGGUGAUAUCAGACAUGCAAUUAAUUCUCUGCAGUAUCUUUGUCUUAAACCACAUAUAAUGCCUAUUCUAUCGUCAAAAGAAAGACUGGAUAAUUGGAUGAUGUGUUCUGUUUGUCAUUCGACUGGAUAACGUUAGUUGUUUGGAUGAUGUGUUUUGUUUCUCAUUUGGAAAAGAUGAAACUCCCUCUCUAUUUUAUGCAUUAGGAAAUUUCUACACAACAAAAGAGAGUGAGCACACUAUUGCAUCUGGUACAUUUGACUAAACUUCAUUCUCAAGUUACAGUGAGUUGCAAGUGCCUUCCAAAACUUAGUAACACUAUGUUUUUGUACCUCUUCUGUAGUACCGAUAAAUUACUCCACCUUUGCAAGUAAUGCUUCCUCAUGAAAGAUGCAUAUCUUAGCAUCUACUUGAGUGAUCUAAUCAUGCAAUAUUGGGUUGUUAUUUACGACCCAUAUAUCCAACACUGUAUGUUCAAAGAGUUUUUCAAUUGCUAAAUGUGGUUUCAUUACUUGUAGACACUGUUCAAAUAAAAAUGUUAAGCAAAUUUCUUAGGAUGUAAUAAUGAACAUUGUUUAAGAAGGACUUCUAUGAGCAUUAUUGAUUAUCCUUUUCACCUCGUGUAAAUUAGUGCCAUAGGUAUAGAUGAACUUACAUGUUAUAUGUGAGAUAAUUUCUAUUACAAAUCUUCUUUGACCACAUUAUCCUAUGCCUUUUUCGUUAGAGUAACAUAUGAUAGCUAUCUGUCAAGUGAAUAAUUGAGAGCACUGUCUUUGGCAAAAUUCCAAUAUUGGCUCAUUUUCUUGUAGAUAGAGACACAUUCCUUCUAAAGGAUUUACUUUAGAUUCCAUAUCUAAAAUUUGAGAUUGUUUAGAGGUGAUUUUGAGUUGAUCAAAAUUGAAUAAUAGUGUAUAUUUCAUGUAUGAUUAAAUUAUUUUUUUGUUUUUUGAGUGUAUCAUAAUGUGUGGUCAGUGUAUAUCUCAUGUAUGGGUAAGCUAUAUUAUAUAGUUAGUGUAUACUUUUGAUAACUUUAGACCAGCUAUAUUGUAUAAUUAGUAUAUAUCUUUUAUGAUUUUUUGCUACUUUUAUGUAAAUAAAAUAUGAUUAUAUUUAUUGUAAACUAAUUAUAUUACUGUGUAUAUUUGAAAUUAGCCUAAAAAAUAUUUCAAAAUAAUAGUGUUGGGCCCGUGGUUAGCACGGGCACUACCUAUCUAGUAUUAAAUAGGAAAAAUUACAAAAAUCUCACCUUUUAGUUUACUUAUUACCAUUAUCCCCUAUAAGUGAAUCGGUUCAAGAACCAACCACUUUAAUUUCCAAAAGCUCAGUGUGCAAUUUGCAUGAAAUCUAUUUUGCAGCGAACUAAGGUUAAUCAAAGUUGUAUGGCUCAAAAUAAAAAUAGAAACUUAAACAAAUGGAAUUCAUAUGAAAAAGACCAAUUAAUUCAUUACAAAAAAGAAAAUGAUUCGGAACUCUAUUCAUUAUCAAACCAAAAAGAUAAUUGUAAAUUGAUCCCCUUUUCCUCUCAUCCUCCCCCGGUUCGGAAUUCGAACAACUGCCUCAAAUACAGUAUCCGGAAGUACCGCUUGUGGAACCUCAAUCUCCACGGGCUUAUUAGCUAAAUGGCGCCGAAUUGCAAUUUUCGCUCGAUUUUUUAUCAAGAGUAUUUCGAACUCAAGAACCUUCCUCUAACUGGAGAAAAAUGAAAAAAGAGAAUCUCAGAUUGGAAAGAAAUUGUUGUCCUCCGGAGGUCGACUAAGGCUUAUUAAACAUGUUCUAGUCUUCCUAUGCACAUGUGAAAGUUUUUUUCCUGAAUUAGCCGGCCCACACUUCGGCUACUAAUAAUGGGAUAAGACCUUACUACUAUAUAGGAUAUGUUACCCUCUCUCCAAUGAGUGCUUCUCGAAGAGCAAAUCGUGAUGGAAAAAGCGUGAGGAGAAUUCGAAACGGGCUAAUUCAUAGAUCUUUGGGCUUUGAUUACCAAGGAAUAGAGACUGAUAGGAGAAAGAGAAGAUCUCGACUAGGAGUCAGAGGGAUGCUUUUAUUUGAAACAAAAGCAUUAGCCUAGACAUACCUCCCGCUAAAGAACACUAUUGACAAUGGGGUCCGGGAGGCCCUCAAAGAAAGCGGUUUUUUUCGGCACUCGCUUCCUUCGUCUUAAGUAAAGUUCAGUUUACUUUUUCAAUUCGGAACUCUUAGUCGAGCUGAUGGCGAGAUCGAUUUUUUGUUCGAGGUUCAAGAGGAAGGAGAGGAACCACCGCCCAUAUUUCUUUUUCUUCGGAUUGGAUCUACAUAAUUUUUUCGAUAUUUUCUUCGGAAGGAGUUCAUCUUGAAUUGCCAGUACAGUGAUUGGAGGCCUGCCCAGUGCCGGAAGGUCAAGGAAGUUGGUGACCUGAUGACAGGGGAGCCGGCGACUGAAGCCCCGUCAUGCUUUUUUAGAGCAUGUGCCUGCUGUUUUUCCGGAGCUGGUUCCGAAAAAAGGAGGACUCAAUGAUUAUUCGUUCGCCGGAAUCAGAAGUUAAAAUUUUUCGGCCUGGUCGAUGGACAACAGGUGAAUAUUCCUGUACUACCCCUUGUUAGUCCCGAGGGACGGAAGAGGCUAGGUUAGCCGAAAGAUGGUUAGGUUCAUGUAUCAUUACCCUGAUGAUAUAACAAAAUAAAAGCUUCCGGAAACACCUCAUCUUCUCAUUUCGUCGUUGCUCAUUCCCGUUAGGCCGAAGUGUUUGGCCUUUCCUUCUCCGCGGAAAUAACCUCCUAUUUUUGGAAUAUUCCUGGGGCAAGAAGGUUUCUAUUCCUCAUUUUCGCGCAUCAGAUUAGUGUAUCUCCCGCAUUAGAUUAAUGUAUCAGCGCUUAUAUUAUUGUAUCUCGCGCAUCAGAUUAGUUUAUUAUGUAUAAAAUGUACAUCAGAUUAGUGUAUCAUAUAUAAAAUGUAAUGCAUCUUACUUAACGAUUAAUGUAUCUCGCACAUCAGAUUAAUGUAUCAGCGCUUAUAUUAUUGUAUCCGUUUGAGGAAUUUCUGUAAUUAUAAACUUUUAAAGGAUAGAUUGUAAUUUUGCAUUAAAAAUAUAUGAUUUCUGUAAUUUGCCCUAUUAAAUAAAUAUUUCAUGAUUGAAGUUUGUAACUAGACUCAACUCACCACAAACCCAGCCAAGAUCAAGCAAUUCCAAAUUAGUCGGAUCAGCUAUAGGAAUCCUAUGUAUCCAUUUCAUUUUAAUCAGGCCCAAUUCAAAAUUUUAAGGAGAUAAAGAAGGUGACAACAAUAAAGCUCAGUUGUUGCAAAUGGCUUUAGCAUUAUUCACCAUCCAUCUUGAGAAAUUCCAUGGACUCAGUCAGCACACUUAAGUUCACAAAGCGACACUCUAUCCACCAAAGUUACAACAAUUCACUCAAUUAGCUGCUGAGCUACAUAAACAAUUGAACUUCAAUUAAAGCCAUUGAAAUACAACAAUAUUAAUGAGUUGCACGAACAAUACAACUGAGAAAUGUAAGGUUCCCUUCGCUGCCUGCUAUAAGGAUUCAUUAGCAUAUGGUAACUUGCAGGGAGCAGCCCGGUCCUUUGACUUAUAUUGGCCUAGCACUUCAGCUACAGUUCUACAACGACAUUGCUUUCCAGGUCGGAGAACAUCCCCAUAAACAGCCAUUUCAAUAACAUCGAGCUCUUUAUCUGCAUGGCCCAAGUUUUAUGGUAAGUAUUAGGAGUAAUAGAGUAAAAUGUCAUUGCUGCAAACAAAAAAUGGCAUGAUACAUAAAUAUGCCCUUCAACUUGGCCUCACACACAUUUAUGCCCUCUAACUUUAGGUAUGCACAAGUAAAAACUUAAACUUAUAUAAAGUUACACAAAUAGACACACGCAUCCUAUAUGACAAUUUGAGUCCUACAUGGUGUCUUACGUGUAUCAUGUCAUGUAGGAAACAUGUGUCUACUUAUUCAACUUUAUACAAGUUUGAGUGCCUACAUUGUGCACACCCAAAGUUGGAGGGCAUAAAUGUGAGUUGAGGCUAAGUUAAAGAGUAUAUUUAUGAAUUAUACCAAAAAAAAUUGACAACCUUAAUUUAUAUGUCCAAUUAUGUGUGAAGUUGGUAAGGAUGGCUAAUCACUAUACAUUUUAGUUAAGGGACUUCAAGGGUGGCUAACUUACGUUAGAAUCCGUAGAAAAUUGUAUACCAUAUACCAAUUUCCACACUAACCUUCCAGACAAGAAUAUCUCUAUUUGUCCUAAUUGUGUAGAAGAAGGUGGCAUUAUUGGUCCCCUAAACUUACCAGUCUAUAUACUUUGUACAAAAACAAAACAAAAAUGAAAAAGAAAUACCACACCCAUUCUAUUAACUACAGUUGCCAAAGCUGUUGUGUUACAAGGCAAGUUCUAUGAUGAUUUAUUGCAUGUGCUGUAUAAUGAAAGAACGGGUAACUUGCACAACUAGGGAGAGGGAUCUAACCAGUUGAAAGAUCCAAGCAAAUGUUAUUGGUCCUAUCCUUAGUGAGAAGAUAAUAUAGAGAUCGUGUAAGCUUUGCUACUCUGAGGAAGUUAGGCAGCAUCUACCAAGAUAAAGAAAUUCUUUAUGUAUUUAAACUAUGUCUAGCUAACAUAACAAAAGGAAUUCUUCUAGGUGGAACAAUAUAGUUCUCCUUUGCUUGAUCUUUUACAAGAGUAUCUUAUCCCUGAUAGGAUCUACAUUGUCAAAGAAUAGUCGAGCGAAAAAAAAAAAAUGAAAAUGAAAGAACAAUCACAAAGAAGAUACAAUCUACAUAGUUUCAGAAGAACUGUCUAAAUCCACGUUCACAAAAAAGAAAAACAGUUCUAUUACACCUGUUUCUACAUCAUACCUUCUCACUACUGUAAUGCAAUAAGAGCUAGGACACAAUUCUAAACAAAACUUCAAUUUGAAUUCAGAAACCACCUUAAAAUAAAAAAACCUUCUCCAACCGCUACUGGCCGUAGGAGGCACAAAAAGAUGUACAGUAAAGAUUAAUCUUAAUGUGACGGAUUCAUACUGUAUUACUGCCCUGAAUCUGAUGAAUGCUUUUUUUUUUUAUAGAAAUGAGACCUUAGCAGGGGCCAAAAGAGUACUGAAUGGAAAAGUAUUUAUCUGAGAAGGAAAUCCCCACAAAAACCAUCACAAUGACAACCAUGAAACGCAACUUGGGUUCAAAUCAAAUACCAAACAAUAGGAAUUUUUCACAUGAUUUCUUAUUAUAAUGCAAAACAAAUUGCUUUCCACUUUAAUUGAUAUUACAUCUCUAUACCUCCAUUUAUGAACGGUGUCAAAUUAUCUUGUUAAACCUGAAAACAUGGAAAUACCUAAAAACUGCCAUAAAAAUAAAAUCAUUACAACAAGUACAAUGACACUUUAAUGUUUAAUCCCAGAUGUUAACAAGAUCAUUUCAGGAUAAUGUUCGGAAGUGAUCCUGAAAUCCAGUGGCAGAUCAGGCAAUGACUUUUAGCUCCAAAAUUACCAAGGAAAUCACAGACUUCUAAUCUUAAGAGGCUACAGAAGUAACAAAACUAUCAUAUAGCUCACAUAUCUCCACUGGUGUGGCUAGUCCAGAAGCCAUAGAGAUCGAUACCGCGACAAGUGAUAGAAGCAGAACAAAUAGGGAAAGAUCAAAG